rnacentral:rRNA from 1 species
CUUCCGUAAGGGGCCUGCGGAAGGAUCAUUAUUGAAUAAACCUGGCUUGGUUGUUGCUGGUCUUUUUGUGGACAUGUGCACGCCUUGUCAUCUUUAUAUCUCCACCUGUGCACUAAUUGUAGACCUGGGGAAAUUUUUUUUGAGGCGACUCAGUUGUGAGGACUUGCUUUUAAUGGGGCUGUCCUUGUACAUUUUCCAGGUUUAUGUCUUUCAUAUACACCGUAAAAAAGUAAUAGAAUGUGAUCAUAAGACUUAUUGUCUUAUAAACUAUAUACAACUUUCAGCAACGGAUCUCUUGGCUCUCGCAUCGAUGAAGAACGCAGCGAAAUGCGAUAAGUAAUGUGAAUUGCAGAAUUCAGUGAAUCAUCGAAUCUUUGAACGCACCUUGCGCUCCUUGGUAUUCCGAGGAGCAUGCCUGUUUGAGUGUCAUUAAUUUCUCAACCUUUAUCAGCUUUUGUUGAUAAAUGGCUUGGAUGUGGAAGUUGCUGGUUUCUAAUUUGAAAUGAGCUCUUCUAAAAUACAUUAGCUGGUUGCCUUGUGUAAACAUGUCUAUUGGUGUGAUAAUUGUCUACGCCAUAACGUGUUUAUUGUUGAGCACUGCUUCUAAUCGUCUGUCUAGUCAGACAUCUAUUAUGAUAACUGACCUCAAAUCAGGUUGCAUGCCCAGU